rnacentral:lncRNA from 1 species
CCGUGGAUCAUCGACUCGGUUUUAAACUUUGGAAACAGGAAGAGUAGUGAGGAAGCUAGGGCACCAAUGCGAGGAUGUGACGUAGGGGGAAGCAAGAGAGCUAAAGUACAUAUUUUAUCUCACACUUUCGCGAAUAAUAUUGAUCGGAAUAAAUUUGACCAUACGAAUCCUCGAGACUUGUUCUGCAUAGAAGAACGUUUUCCUUCUACAUAGAUCAACAUAACUUCUUUUUUUUUUUUUUACUUGUUUAGCUUUUGUAAGACAAUAUUAAAACAAAAAUCAAUAGAGCUUGUAGGGUUGAUUCAAUAUUGAUUAUUGUGUCACCUAAUGUUUGAAGCAUAAUUCACUAAAAACAUGAAUCAUAAAUCAUAAUUCAGGGAAAAUAUAUGCAUUGGGAAAUAUAGAUGAAAACUCUAGAAAAA